rnacentral:rRNA from 1 species
AAAUAGAUACCCCGUGGUAGUCCCAGCCGUAAACGAUGCGCGUUAGGUGUAUCGGUGACCACGAGUCACCGAGGUGCCGAAGGGAAACCGUGAAACGUGCCGCCUGGGAAGUACGGUCGCAAGGCUGAAACUUAAAGGAAUUGGCGGGGGAGCACCACAACAGGUGGAGCCUGCGGUUUAAUCGGACUCAACGCCGGGAACAUCACCGGAUAAGACAGCGGGAUGAUAGCCAGGCUGAAGACUUUGCUUGACUAGCUGAGAGGAGGUGCAUGGCCGUCGUCAGUUCGUACUGUGAAACAUCCUGUUAAGUCAGGCAACGAGCGAGACCCACGCCAACAGUUGCUAGCAUGUCCUUGGGAUGAUGAGGACACUGUUGGGACCGCCUCUGCUAAAGAGGAGGAAGGAAUGGGCAACGGUAGGUCAGCAUGCCCCGAAUUAUCCGGGCUACACGCGGGCUACAACUGGGCAGGACAAUGGGUAUCGACACCGAAAGGUGAAGGCAAUCUCUUAAACCUGUCCGUAGUUCGGAUUGCGGUUGCUAACCG